GAAAUGCGAUACGUAAUGUGAAUUGCAGAUUUCAGUGAAUCAUCGAAUCUUUGAACGCACAUUGCGCCCGCUAGUAUUCUGGCGGGCAUGCCUGUUCGAGCGUCAUUUCAACCAUCAAGCGCCCGCGCUUGUGUUGGAGCCCUGCGGCUGCCGCAGGCUCCCAAACCCAGUGGCGGGCUCGUCGUCGUACCGAGUGCAGUAAACAUCCUCGCUCAGGGAACGCGUCGGGUACCGGCCGUAAAACACCCAACUUUAGAGAGUUCUAAAGCCUGGCUUUAGAACUCUCUAAAGUUUGACCUCGGAUCAGGUAGGAUUACCCGCUGAACUUAA
rnacentral:misc_RNA from 1 species